rnacentral:tRNA from 1 species
CGGGAUGUAGCGAAACUUGGUAUCGCGCUUGGAUGGGGGCCAAGAGAUUGCAGGUUCAAAUCCUGUCAUUCCGA